rnacentral:lncRNA from 1 species
AAUUGAAGGUCAUGCAUAUUUCUCGAAAAUUAAAAGGGAAGAAGGCAAUCAAAAUAUUAUUAGUUUUUUCUAAAAUUAAAAAGGAAAAAGACAAUAAAAAAUAAAAAUAUUAUUAUUUGUUUUCUUCUUUCAUUCCAUUACAAUCAUGCUAGUGUAAAAAUCCACAACUAUUAGGUUCUUGAAAUAACAGUAAAAGGAAAUCAAAUUGUUGGGGUAACAAUACAAUAUGCAAAUAACAUAUGACAACACAUAAAAUAUAUUAGGUGUUUCUGUGUUCUCUCGGGUCUUUAGUUAUCUGAGGUGUUUGUAAACUCAUAAAGGUAUUUCUUUAUAUUCUCGGAUUAAGCAAUUCACGUGCUAGUACACAUUUACAAUGACUGUUGUUUAUGCAUGUCACUUUAAAAGGAGACCGACAAAACAUUCUAUUUUUACAAUCUGAAUCACCAAAACAUUUAAUUCUUUCUCCUGCAACAAAAACUAACAAUAAGGUUAUUAAAAUAUUAAAAAAAUACAACGUAUGAAAUAAAAAAGAAAAUUUAAAAUGAAUGAAUUAAAGUUACCUUCAGUUUCCAUUCCAAUAAGAAAUAGAAAUAAUAAUAGAAUCCUAACAUAAGCAAACUUUGUUAUUUCUACCAUAUUUCUCUUUGUUAUUUUUUAUAAUUAUUUUGUAACUUUAUACUUUAUGAAUAAGAGUGUAUCCUCACCUUUUAUAACUUUUAGUUGUGGCCACUUAGUGGUAAAAUAUAUCUUAAAAUUAAAAUAAUUAGUAUAUAACUUUUCGGUACAUCAUUUUGUUGUGUUAGUCUAUUCAGCACAUCUAAAAAAGAUG